GUUUGGCAUUAGUGGAUGCUACCCUAAUUCUGCAAAUGAGAAACAAAUAAAUACGCAAACAGCUCUGUGAAAGGGCUCAGGAAAACCCACAAACCAGACCCAGAAAAGGAUUUAGAAGAUAAGCCUGUGGUCACAGCCAGAGGAGUCAAGAAAUUAGAAUGGUGGAGGUGGUGACAAUGUAACUAACAAAUCAGCCAGCACUGAUCCUGUAGCUGGAGCUGGAGCUGAGGACGAUGACAAUGAUGAUGAUUUUAUAACCACUGAGGUAAAGAGGAGGUUGAAAGAACUGAGAAGGAACUGUUUUAUGGUGCUGAUUCCUGAAGAAGAGUCAUGUGCUGAAGAGGAGGAGGAAGAGGAGGGGAAAGGUGAGACGAACUCAAACGAAUGGAGGAAGGCAAUGGUGGGGUGGGUUUGAUGCUCUGUAUGACCAUUACUCUGAGCGGAUGUUAUUUGAUUGGAUGAGUGUGCAGUUGCUUAAUGACUCUGGCUGCUACGCUCCCACAACUCCUCCAAGGCCUGCUUCCAAGAAUCUGACAUCACCCUUCCGCUGCCUUCUCUGAAAAGCUAGAAGAACCUGAAACAGAGCAUCUGCAGCAGGUACAGAAUGACCCAUAUGAAGAUAUUGAAACUGCAUAUGUUGCUCAAUUUUGCUCAACCUCCACUGCCAGUACACUUAACUGAUUCAAAAAAUCUCUUGCCAGCCUGGAAACCCUGCAUGUUGCAACCACAGUGCUGAGCUUUUUCAGCAAUUACAAAUUUUAUUGCUAAGGUUUAUAGAAAAUGAACCUUUGGAGCAGGAAUUUAUGCUUGUGCAAGGAAUGCUUUGCGUAAAUUGCUCCAGGUUCCCAACGCAAAAGGUUUGGAUAGAAAGAUACAGGAGAAAUGUCAUCAGAUUAUGUGGUCUGGCCCCUGAUCUCCUCAGGAUAAUUGAGAGUUUCGAUCCUUAAUUCCCACCGUUUCCUGAAGAUGGACAAGAAAAAACAAUAUAAUGCCCGUUACUUGUUUGGAAAUUAGAACCAGAUAUUCAACUGAUUCAAUCUUCGCUUGAGAAGGUGAGAUUUCUACCGUCCUGUCUUGUGUAUUAGUGCUAAAGAUUGCUAGUUAAUUGCAUAUAUUGUUGUUCCUUUGAAAAGUAUCCCGAAAACUAAAAAAAAAUCACCUUCACAUGAACAUGGAAAAUAAACCUUUAGAGACGGUUUUGAAAUCAAUAUAUCCAGUAACAUGUUAAGUAUUGUUCAAAAAUUCAUUGAGGAUUUUGAAAGCAACCUUCAAAGGGGCUGGGUGUGGCGGUGUUAGCGCAUGUAGCUCACACGCUUAUGUUACUAGUGGCGUGCUGAUACACACUCCGGUGAAAGGGAUGGCGCGUGAUUGGUUAGAUAAAGUGGUUCUCUUUCUCCUCCUCAUCACUCACAUGCUAGCAGUGUCACUAGCAACUACCCGAAAUGAAAGUUUCAAGCAUGGGAAGUUUUGGUUGACAUCUCACUUUGGGUCGUCAGCUUGAUUGUGGUUUG